CAGCCGGCGGGGUCAGGUAUACCGGCUGCUCGAGUGAUAGCCGCUUUUACUGGGCUUAAAGCGUUCGUAGCUUGGUCGUUAACUCUCUGGGGAAAUCUUUUGGCUUAACCAAAAGGCGUCUCAGGGAAAGUGGCGAUCUUGGAACCGGGAGAGGUAAGACGUACUUCGGGGGUAGGAGUGAAAUCUUGUAAUCCCCGAGGGACGACCGAUGGCGAAGGCAUCUUACCAGAACGGCUUCGACAGUGAGGGACGAAAGCUGGGGGAGCAAACCGGAUUAGAUACCCGGGUAGUCCCAGCCGUAAACGAUGUGCGUUAGGUGUGUCAGCGACCACGAGUCGCUGAGGUGCCGAAGGGAAACCGUGAAACGCACCGCCUGGGAAGUACGGUCGCAAGGCUGAAACUUAAAGGAAUUGGGGGAGGGAGCAC
rnacentral:rRNA from 1 species